UACGAAGGGGGCUAGCGUUGCUCGGAAUCACUGGGCGUAAAGGGUGCGUAGGCGGGUCUUUUAAGUCAGGGGUGAAAUCCUGGAGCUCAACUCCAGAACUGCCUUUGAUACUGAGGAUCUUGAGUUCGGGAGAGGUGAGUGGAAUUCCCAGUGUAGAGGUGAAAUUCGUAGAUAUUGGGAAGAACACCGGUGGCGAAGGCGGCUCACUGGCUCGUAUCUGACGCUCAGGCGCGAUAGCGUGGGGAUCAAACAGG
rnacentral:rRNA from 1 species